rnacentral:rRNA from 1 species
AACCUGCCCAAGAGAUCGGGAUAACACCUGGAAACAGAUGCUAAUACCGGAUAACAACAGAUGAUGCCUAUCAACUGUUUAAAAGAUGGUUCUGCUAUCACUCUUGGAUGGACUUGCGGUGCAUUAGCUAGUUGGUAGGGUAACGGCCUACCAAGGCGAUGAUGCAUAGCCGAGUUGGGAGACUGAUCGGCCACAUUGGGACUGAGACACGGCCCAAACUCCUACGGGAGGCAGCAGCU